GGGCCUGUAGCUCAGUAGGCAGAGCAGCGGACUUUUAAUCCGAAGGUCGAGGGUUCGAUUCCCUCCGGGCCCA
rnacentral:tRNA from 1 species